UCUGGUUUUCUUUCAGAGUACUUGCAUGAUUUUUUAAAAAAACCAAGCACAUCAAAUGUCACAACAUUAGGAUAAUCAUUAAAAUGUCAAUCAUUCAGUGCAUUUGCAAUAUGCCAGAGCUUACUAGAGAACAUAUUUUUUUAUCUGAUUAAUGUGAGUCUCUGGAACAUGCCUUUGAAUGGGCAUCUCUUUAAGAGGUGAUUAGUGGUUAUUAAAGAUUAUUCCUAUUAGGGAAAGAACAGUUUUUCCCUAAAGUGGAAUAAAAUUGGUCCUUAAAAGCAGUAGAUCCUAAAGGAAAAGACAGAUGUAAAAGGACAUCUAAGAAAAUGAAAUGUUACUGAUGGAAUCAUAGAAGUAUUUGGGUGGGAAGGGACCUUAAAAAAUAUCUAGUUCCACCCUCCAUACCAUGGGCAAGGACAUAUUCCACCAGGUUGUUCAAAGCCCCACCCAACCUGGCCUGAUGCUGUGUUGUGUCCUGCGCAGAUUUUUGUGUCUUGCUGGCCAUAUUGAUCUCCAGCUGCAAGAACCUGGAAAGCUGGACCACAAAUUUUGGUGCCUGUCAUAAUCUGGAUACUACCAUCUGUGUCAUGGAUAGUACUGUUUUUUAAAUAUAAGUAGUUGAUCAAUACUGUAUAUUUAAGAUGACUAGAUAAGCUAAAAAAUAUCUGGUACAUACUAAUAAAUGUACUUUUUUGAUUGCAUCUUGUGCAGAAUCUAAAUUUUGUUCCACUGCUUAUACUAAUUGCAAUAGCAUAAAUUUGGUCAGUAAUUUAAUGGAAGGAUUUGGGACUGCAAAUCGCAAUUGUAAGGAUGAAAAGUUGGGAAAUGGGAAUUUCAGAUACCCUUUGUAAAGUAACUAUUACACAUUCAUGUGCAGAGUCCCUUCAUCUUUCUUGGCUGUUUCAGAGGGAAAUAGCCACAAAAUACAAUUAAAUAUGUUAAACUUUGGACAUAGAAACCCAGUGUAUUGUCAGUGCAGUAAUUUGCUUCCUAACAGCCUCUUCUGGAUUGUGUCCAGAGCUCUUCACUUGAUUUGUGAAAGCUGCCUUCAUUAAGCUCCUGACUGCACUUGGUGAGACUGUUAUCUAAAAGACUCCUUGGCGUUGUUUUUUCAAUGCAUGGAAAGCCACAGACACAGUGUGCAGUGUUCUGGUAUGAUCCGGGAGAGGACAGCAGGCAUGCUGUGAGCAGGGGAUUUCCUCCUCCUUACAGUGCAGUAUAAAUAAGUCACACAGUUGGCAAAAUGUGCCAAACUGGUAACUUUCUCCCUCCAAAUAUGUUUAUGAAGAGAAAAGGCCUUGUAAACCCCUCCAUUUAUACUAAGGACAGAGUCAAUAUAGGUAGCUUUUCAUAAUGUCUUCUCCCUUCAAGCAAUAAAAAUUAAGUGUCCCUGCUUGGUUCAUUCUUCUGCUCUGUGAUACAUCUGAAAUAAUACCAGCUGGUGCUGGUGUGGUGGCAUCAGGUUAUCCUCCCUGGCUGCAAGAAAUGGGUCACUUCAGCAGAAGCUGCCAUAGGGCCCUCAGGGGACAGACACCACUGGAUAAGAACUGCCAAGCAAUGUCUGGAUCUGCAUCAUCUGCUCUUCUGCUCUUCCGACCUGUUCUGUCCUGAAAGAGUACUUUUAUACUUAUUUUUCCUUUUUUUUUUUUUUUUUUUCUUCCUUUUCCCUACAGAUACCUGAAUCUCACUUCAUGUUUGAUGUUCAUUGACAGAGGUGAUGUGAAGCUGCACAUCCCUCUCCAGGAGCAGAAAGGAGAUUAGAGUGGAUUCAGUCUGCAAACUGUCUGUGAGUGAAGGGGAGAGAUGUGCCCAUGCCCACAUGGACCUGCUACAAGAGGACAUUUUGCGCAUUCCUUCUACUUCAUUUCUCCUCACAUCCUUCUCUGGCCUAGGAAAUUUGACUUCAUCUCCUGUUUGAACAGUGUUUGAACACCUGUAUCCUUUCCUAGGCUGCUGGGUGUCACUAUAUUCCCUGAACUGAAGGGAUUCUAUGAGAGAUGUCAGAGGACAUGGAUUUGGCAGUGGAGACCACUGGAUUUCAUUCCUUAGCUGACACUGUCAACCUUCAGAAAGCACACAUCUUUGCAUUAUGGCCUCAUAUAAAGUCGGUAACUUUUGCAAGUCAGGAACGAACAGGAAAUGCCUAAACAACAUGGGAAGCAUGGUAAGGUGUCAAGGAAAGGGAAACAAAUGAGUGUGAUCCAGAAUGUUACAUCUCUUUGUGCGUGACUUGACCGAGAUACAGAUUGAAGGGACAGAUCUUUUUACUAUUACUCCUCAGAAUCAAAGGAUAAGAAAUAGCUUUCCUGGAGGUCACUUCAUCCUGGCUACAUUCAUAUACAGGUGGUUUGUUUCAGUGCACAGGGGCAUAUCCUGCAGUGUUAAAAUCAAUGGGAAUGUUGCUGCUGAAAAUAGGAACAGCAUUUUAUCUUUGUUUCUGAUAACUGAUGUCACAAGAUCUUGGAAGGGGUUUUACUGCUUUUAAAAACAAUCUCAACUUGUGUUUUUACUCCUGGUGCCUAAUGCUUCCAUUGUAAGUGACAUUUCACCAGGAUGCUGCACCUUGUGAAUCCAGGGAGAAGGUUGUACACCAGAAAGGCAUAUGAAGACAGCAUUUAGUGAGAAACAAGUAAUUAAGACAUCUGGAUAGAGAAGAACACAUCAAAAAUAAUUUAACAAAGCAGGUGUCUGAGAACAAGAAACAGGAACUGGGAAGGUGAGGUUUCAGGUGAACUCAUAGAACAGAACGGUCAUGGUUAUACUGGAUCCUCAACUUGUUGCACUCUCAGCUGCUCUUUCCUCCCUGGAGUCUUUCCAGCCCAGAUGGUGCAACUCAGGCUGCAUGACCUGAGGCAGUGUUGGAGCAGCAGCAUGUUGUUAGCUGGCUUAGCAAAAGAUCAUUUUUUUUUUUCUUUUUCAGCCCAUGUGCUGUAAGCUGAAGCCUAACUCUGGACUUCUUCUUUUCCUGUGGUUGAAUCUACAGAGAAUUGGACUGUAAUAAUGGCAGCAGAUGGUGUAUUUUCUUGUCUUUGGAUGGUUUGACAGCAGGCCAGUGAUAGCAGUUUUCAGAGCAAUAAAGAUUACCUGUGUGUUAUAUUUCCCUUUCCCCCCUUACUCUUCUCCCCAAGCUGAAUAAUAUUUUUUUAAACAGUUGGGAUUUCUUGCGCAAGUGAACUUGCUAGAGCCUGUGCAAACCUGGGUUCUGGUUGUUCCAGUGAAGCACUGUCAAGUCUAUGCAAGGCCACAGUUUUCUAGUUGCUUUUCAAAUAACUGAUUCCAAGCAGGCUGAAUCUGUAUCUCUGGGAGAUACAGAUAUCUCUGGGAGGUUGGUAUUCCCCAUGUAAUAUUUCUGUGCACCCUCAUCUGAUAGAUCAUUCUGAAGACCAACAGGAGCAGCUCUCAUUCAAUAGGUGAUGACUGCAAAUUCCUGAAGUGGGAAAAGGUUUUCUGAAAAUUUUAGCCAAAACCUGGAUUUUUCUCUGUAUUUUUUUUUUCAUGGUUCUGUUACAUUUAUAUAUUGCUCUGAAAUAUUCUUAUCUUCUCUUAAAGUUGUUUUCAAUUUAGGUCUUCAGUGGAGGAGCUAGUUUUAGAUGUGUAGUUAUGCUUUUUUCCCCUCAUAAGAGCCUACGAAAUAGAAAGCACUUUUCUACAGGAUAUUGUUUUGGUUUGGAUUCCACCUUUUUUCCUUCUUUAGGAGUGUUAAAAAGAUGUCACUUAAUUUGAACAGUAGCAAACCUCAGCCCCAAACAGAGAAAUAUGCAGUCUUUCUCAAGACAUGUUGAGACAUCCCCCUGCAGCUGUAAUGGGUUAUCAGCACAUCUCCACCCUUUCACCAGAUGCAACCUUUUAGAGGCAACUUUGUCUUCAGACUUCAGUUGUAUAUCAUCUGAUCUCAACUAGUGUCAAAAGACCCAGAAACUCUCUGCCUGUCUGCUGGGAACAUUGAUCCACUCACCACAACUAUUUACAAGAUGUGAAGUCUUUCCUUCCCUUGCACUCUUUUUCUCUCUUAAAAAAAGAAAAAAAAAAAAAAGCUGUCAGUAUUUCAGAAAUUGUGAGUAGCAGAUCUUUGUGUUCUUUAAUCCAUAAAUAAACAUUUCUUUUUUUGAACUUCA